GGGAAUCAGACCCUGUGCCCAGGACCUGGGUGGAAGUGCUCCAUGAUCACUGCUGUGUCAGUGAUAAGUAUCAAUGUACACUGCAUGGCACCCCACAAUGCUGAAGAGGAGACAGUGCUGAGGACCUGCCCAAAUACACCUAUCCCAGACCUGACCUGCUUUGUGCUGGAGAUCCUGUCACUUUGCUGAAGUGAUGCAGAGGACAAAAAACGUGAUGGAGGUCAAGUUCAGCAAUACGUAGCAAUGCACAGCCUGGACUAUGAAGGGAGCUAUUUUUAACCUGGAUGUGUUCUGUGAUUUGUUUCCCACACAGCAUUGAAACUGGCACAGCUGAGGGGUUGGCGGAAAUGAAGUUGCACCAAGAAGUCCAAGAGCAAUCAGGAGAGACUUCAGGGCUUCAGGAUGGUUGCUUAAGGGGUCGGGAGCACAGGUACUGUUCUCCCUUAUAAUUCCAAUUGCAGGGAAUGAUGAGGGAAGAAACAGAAAGAGCCAGCAAAUCAAUACCUGGCUCUGAGCCUGGUGUCACUGCAAAAUUUUGACAUUUUUGAUUGUGGGUUGGUUUACAUGACAGCAUUGCUGCUGG